rnacentral:lncRNA from 1 species
CUAAUUCGUGAGCAAAAGUCUUCCAUUUAAAUCUGUAAUCUGGUAAAAACUCUUCUUCAUGGUUCUAAAAUUGAUAAUUAUAGGAGGCGGGAAGAAGGAGCGUCUUACUAUUGGUCUUCAAGAAAGGAAAUCAGAAGGAAAGGAAGUUAACAAAGAUGGUAGCUAGCUAGGCUAGUGGUUAGUAAUCUCUGAAGUAAGGCUAGCUGGGCUAGUGGUUAGUAAUCUCUGAAGUAAGGCUAGCUAGGCUAGCGGUUAGUAAUCUCUGAAGUAAGGCUAGCUGGGCUAGCGGUUAGUAAUCUCUGAAGUAAGGCUAGCUGGGCUAGCGGUUAGUAAUCUCUGAAGUAAGGCUAGCUGGGCUAGCGGUUAAUAAUCUCUGAAGUAAGGCUAGCUAGGCUAGCGGUUAGUAAUCUCUGAAGUAAGGCUAGCUAGGCUAGCAAUUAGUAAUCUCUGAAGUAAGGCUAGCUAGACUAGCGGUUAGUAAUCUCUGAAGUAAAUUAAGGCUAGGCAAAUAACGUUAGUAAUCUCUGAAGUAAAGUAAAGUUAG